GUUUUAUUUCAGUACAAAAUGUCAACUUCUAUUUUCUGUGAUUGUAUUGGCCUUAGUCGUUAAUGAAUACAUAUUCAUUGUCCAAAUGCUACAUGUUAAAACGAAUUUGAACAGGGUAAAAAUAUAAGGUCCAAAAUGCAACCAGAUCCUGACGAACACACUAAUCCAGGGAUGGAGAUUCUGACUUGGGACCCCAGUCAUGAACGGUCUGUUAAAGGGUUGACACCUACUCCAUCCUACAGUGCAUUUUCUGAAAAUGCCAGAAAGAUGAUAUCGCCUGAAAAUGCGUGUGCUAUGUUCUGCCGGGGUAAGAAAUGCAAGUACUGCACGUGGACAUCAUGGCCCGA